rnacentral:rRNA from 1 species
AGAGUUUGAUCCUGGCUCAGGAUGAACGCUGGCGGCGUGCCUUAAGCAUGCAAGUCAAGGGGCCAUAGCAAUAUGGUACCGGCGGACGGGUGAGUAACGCGUGGGAAUCUUCCCAGAAGAGGGGCAUAGCCAACCGAAAGGUUGGGUAAUUCCCCAUGUGAUCGUAAGAUUAAAGGCGCAAGCCGCUUCUGGAUGAGCCCGCGUCCUAUCAGCUUGUUGGUGGGGUAAAAGCCUACCAAGGCGACGACGGGUAGCUGGUCUGAGAGGAUGGUCAGCCACAAUGGGACUGCGACACGGCCCAUACACCUACGGGUGGCAGCAACUGGGAAUCAUGGACAAUGGACGAAAGUCUGAUCCUGCGACGCCGCGUGGAGGAUUGAAGGCCCUCGGGUUGUAAACUCCUUUUGCAUAGGAAGAUUAUGACGGUACUAUGCGAAUAAGCACCUGCUAAUCACGUGCCAGAAGCCUCGGUAAGACGUGAGGUGCGAGCGUUAUCCGGAUUCAUUGGGCGUAAAGAGUUGCGUAGGCCGAUUUGCGCAUUUUAUUUAAAAGCCCGGAGCUCAACUCCGGUUUUGGGUAAAAUAUGGCAAAUCUAGUAGGAUAGAGAGGGUACUGGAACUGAUGGUGUAGCAGUGAAAUGCGUUGAUAUCAUCAGGAACACCAAAGGCGUAGGCAGGUACCUGGCUAUCUCUAGACGCUGAGGCACGAAAGCUAGGGGAGCGAAGCAGAUUAGAGACCUGCGUAGUCCUAGCCGUAAACGAUGGAUGCUAGUUACCGGGAGUUUUCUCGGUGACGUAAGGUAACCCGUUAAGCAUCCCGCCUGGGGAGUACGAGCGCAAGCUUAAAACUCAAAGGAAUUGACGGGGAGGCGCACAAGCAGUGGAGCAUGUGGUUUAAUUCGAUACAAAGCGAAACACCUCACCAAGGUUUGACAUGUACUUGCUAAUCCUAUGAAAGUAGGACUCCUUCGAGGGUAGUACACAGAUGCUGCAUGGCUGUCGUCAGCUCGUGGCGUGAGCUGUACCGUUAAGUCGGGUAACGAGCGCAACCCGCAUCAUAUGUUAAAUUAUUCAUAUGAAACUGCCCCGGUUUUCGGGGAGGAAGGCGCGGAUGACGUCAAGUCAGCACGGCUCUUACACCUUGGGCUACACACAUCCUACAAUGGCGAAUAACAACGAGUUGCAAACCAGUAAUGGCAAGCCAAUCUCUUAAAUUUCGCCCCAGUUCAGAUCGAGGGCUGCAAUUCGCCCUCGUGAAGUCGGAAUUGCUAGUAAUCGCGAAUCAGCAGGUCGCGGUGAAUACGUUCUCGCCUCUUGUACACACCGCCCGUCAAGGCAGCAAAGUUGGGGGCGCCCGAAUACCCCUACCGGGGUAGAAGGUGAAACCAGCGAUGAAGCUUAAGUCGAAACAAGGUAUCCGUAGCCGAAGCUGCGGAUG